GUGAAGCAUUAGUUCCUAUAUAUGCCAGAGUGUCCGAUUCAACUUUUAGGACGAGAUCUAUUAUCGAAGCUUUAAACUCAGAUAACCUUUUACCUAAUGGAUUAACAUCUCUGAAGUUUAAGGGAUUACCAGGCAUAAUAUGAUAUCGGUGCCGAGGGAAGAAGAAUGACGCUUCUAUUCCAUAGUGACAAGUGUUAACCCUAAGAGUGAU
rnacentral:lncRNA from 1 species